rnacentral:pre_miRNA from 1 species
CAGGGUUGGGUUCUCAGAAGGCAAAGUUCUUGGGACAUCUUCAUCAUGGCCUGGGAUCUGGUCUUCCUCACCCUCCUCACUCAGGACACAGGUGA